rnacentral:rRNA from 1 species
CCUACGGGAGGCAGCAGUGAGGAAUAUUGGUCAAUGGGCGUAAGCCUGAACCAGCCAAGUCGCGUGAGGGAAUAAGGUCCUACGGGUCGUAAACCUCUUUUGCCGGGGAGCAAGGCCGGGGACGCGUCCCCGCACGGAGAGUACCCGCAGAAAAAGCAUCGGCUAACUCCGUGCCAGCAGCCGCGGUAAUACGGAGGAUGCGAGCGUUAUCCGGAUUUAUUGGGUUUAAAGGGUGCGUAGGCGGCUUUUUAAGUCAGCGGUAAAAAGUCGGGGCUCAACCCAGUCCGGCCGUUGAAACUGGGGGCCUUGAGUGGGCGAGAAGGAGGCGGAAUGCGUGGUGUAGCGGUGAAAUGCAUAGAUAUCACGCAGAACCCCGAUUGCGAAGGCAGCCUUCCGGCGCCCGACUGACGCUGAGGCACGAAAGUGUGGGGAUCGAACAGGAUUAGAUACCCGGGUAGUC